AGCGAACGCUGGCGGCGUGCUUAACACAUGCAAGUCGAGUGCGCGGUUGUAGCAAUACAACUGGCGCACGGCGCACGGGUGAGUAACACGUGGGCAACCUGCCCUCCAAUGGGGGAUACCCCCCGCGAAAGCGGGACUAAUACCGCAUGACAUUCCAGGGACUUCGGUUCUUGGACUCAAAGGCCGCAAGGUCGUUGGAGGAGGGGCCCGCGCCCGAUUAGCUAGUUGGUGAGGUAACGGCUCACCAAGGCUAUGAUCGGUAGCCGGUCU
rnacentral:rRNA from 1 species